rnacentral:rRNA from 1 species
AAAGCCCCGCAAGGGGCAAGUAGAGUGGCAAACGGGUGAGAACACGUGGGUGACCUGCCUUCGAGCGGGGGAUAACGUCCCGGAAGGGACGCUAAUACCGCAUAACAUCCUGCCUUUGAAGAGGUGGAGAUCAAAGCUGGGGAUCGCAAGACCCGGCACUUGAAGAGGGGCCCGCGCCUGAUUAGCUAGUUGGUGGGGUAAUGGCCUACCAAGGCAACGAUCAGUAUCCGGCCUGAGAGGGCGGACGGACACACUGGGACUGAGACACGGCCCAGACUCCUACGGGAGGCAGCAGUGGGGAAUUGUUCGCAAUGGGCGCAAGCCUGACGACGCAACGCCGCGUGGAGGAUGAAGAUUUUCGGAUCGUAAACUCCUGUCGAAUGGGACGAAAAGAUUGCGGGUUAACAGCCCGUAGUCCUGACGGUACCGUUAAAGGAAACCCCGGCUAACUCCGUGCCAGCAGCCGCGGUAAUACGGGGGGGGUAAGCGUUGUUCGGAAUUACUGGGCGUAAAGGGCUCGUAGGCGGCCAACUAAGUCAUACGUGAAAUCCCUCAGCUUAACUGGGGAACUGCGUGUGAUACUGGAUGGCUUGGAUUUGGGAGAGGGAUGCGGAAUUCCAGGUGUAGCGGUGAAAUGCGUAGAUAUCUGGAGGAACACCGGUGGCGAAGGCGGCAUCCUGGACCAAUAUUGACGCUGAGGAGCGAAAGCCAGGGGAGCAAACGGGAUUAGAUACCCCGGUAGUCCUGGCCCUAAACGAUGAAUGCUUGGUGUAGCGGGUAUCGAUCCCUGCUGUGCCG